GACGUAGGGUCCAAGCGUUGUCCGGAUUUACUGGGCGUAAAGAGCGCGUAGGCGGUCCGUUAAGUGUAGAGUGAAAUCUCUGGGCUCACCCCAGAAACUGCUCUGCAUACUGGCGGACUUGAGGGAUGCAGAGGUUUGUGGAAUUCCUGGUGUAGCGGUGAAAUGCGUUGAUAUCAGGAGGAACACCCAUGGCGAAGGCAGCAAACUGGGCAUCAUCUGACGCUGAGACGCGAAAGCGUGGGGAGCAAACAGG
rnacentral:rRNA from 1 species